UGAUCCUUCGAUGUCGGCUCU
rnacentral:ncRNA from 4 species